GCCACCCGCCGCGGCACCGGAGCGCGCCCCGUCGGCGACUGGCACCGGCGAGCCCUUGGCUCCCCCCUCCGGGCCUGAACUGCUCCCAGGGACCGCUCCGUCGCGGUAGGAGGACCCGGGGAAGCGGGAAGGGGAGGUUCUCAGCAGGGGCGGUCGUAGCCUGAGCCUCUUCCUGCCCCCCAGCAGAGGGGUCCCGUCUGUGCUAUGGGGCCUGGACACUGGUCCCUGCCUACUUCCCGCCUACCUUGCAGCUAAGACUCCGGGAUGCACCCCGAGAACGCCCCCGUCACGCCCCGUCGGCGACGGACCCCAGGCUCGCAGGGACCCAGGGCUGGAGAAAUGGCUGAUUCUAGGGCUAGAGCCGAGAAAACACCACACCAGUCUGGAGACACUUCCAGCGGCAGAAAUACUUAAAACAAGCUGGAAGGACUCGGAAGCCAACCUCAAAGAACUCUCCUUGGCCACAGCUGGAACAAUUCGAGAACAAAGUGAAUAACCAUAGCAUUGGAUUAUGACCCCAGCGAUGAAAUCAAGUCCACACGAGUCCGUACUGAUUAAAAAUACAAGUUCUGGCAGCACAUCUCAAUUCAGCUUUCCAAAUGACCACACCGUCCAGAGAAUGGAGAGGAAGUGUGCUCUUUUCUUCCUGGGUUUUUUCUGCUGGGCAGUUUCUCCUGCCACUGUCCCGCGGGAAUCAUCUUCAAUUCCCAUAUUGGGACACCUGUUUCCUCAAUCUUGAGUCUUCCUUUUUUCUUUUUAUCUUUCUUCUUUUUUUUUUUUUUUUAUUUACUCCCUUGUUUUGGUUGAGUGCAUCCUGCAAUAACUUUCUAAGAACAUAAGAGCACGGGAGAUGACAUUUUUUAGUCCCUCUGCAUUUUGAAAUGUCUCUGCCUGCUCCUUGCACUUGGUCACUAUUUUGGCUGGAAAUAGGGGUCUGGGUUCGAAAUCCUAUUCUGUCAGAAUGUUGAGGCUACAGAUCCAUUGUCUCUUUAUUUCCAGUGUCUUUGAAUUUGCUGCUUGUGCCACCAGGAAUGCACUCCUUUCCUCCUCAUCCUUUUGAUACCACAAUGGCCAUUUCAAGGGUAAACCAAUAGCUCUGGACGGAAAAACCCAGCCAAGUCCAUGACUGCUUUGACCGAUUCUGGCCAUCAAAUGCAGGUGGAAGCGGAGUCACUUCUGUACAUCAGUCACUUCUGAGCCGAGGCAUCGAAAAGCCCACACAUGCUUCUCCGGUCUCCCUGGACGUGUUUGUUCCUGCAGCAAAACUUGACUUAUGCUGGGGCGCCUGGGUGGCUCAGUGGGUUAAAGCCUCUGCCUUCCGCUCAGGUCAUGAUCCCAGGGUCCUGGGAUCAAGCCCCACAUCGGGCUCUCUGCUGAGCAGAGAGCCUGCUUCCCUUCCUCUCCCUCUGCCUGCCUCUCUGCCUACUUGUGAUCUCCCUCUC